GUUGAACCCAGCAUAUCCCAUGGGGCACUGACAGAAGUAGCCUCCCUCCGGGUUGUCGACACAGCGCCCGUCAUUGAAGCAAGGCCCAUCCGCACAGCUACUUGCACUCAACUCGCAGUUGUUGCCAUAGAAACCAGAGCAGCUGCCACCAUUACGACAGGGGUUUCCAGAACAUUCAUUAACCUCUAUCUCACAGCUGGCACCUGUAAAGCCAGGCAGACAGGAGCAUGUGUAGCUGCCCUGGCCAGUGUUGGUACAAGUGGCACCAUUGAGACAAGGCUUGUGAAGAGGCCGCCCCAUCCCUCCUGGCAGUUACACUGCCAGGGUUGUUGGCACGUACCAUGGAGGCAGCCCGGGUAACGGAUACAGUCAUCACAGUAACGACCACUGAAUCCCACACGGCAUCUGGAACACACCAUGAAUCAAAUGAUGUUUCUCACAGAAGCCAUGAUCUUCGUCACAGCCAGGAAGACAAAUUGCUGCAGAGGAAAACAACACAAAACGCCAGAGUUGCAAAUGAUCUCGCCACGCUCUCCACACGUGAAGUGUCCGAAGGCAUCAUCUCGGGGCCGACAGAACACAGAGCAGCCCUCGCCGUAGUAGUGCUCGUCACACAGGAAGCGCUGUAUGGUAAUUGGGCCAGCAGCACCUGCUCUCCCACAAUAACAACACCAGAGAGAGGGUCUGAUCAGGUUUGAUAAUAUCACCGUUUCUGCAUGCAAACACAUCACAGGACCCAAUGCAAAUCUCUACACUGCAUUUGGUGCGUGUGUGUGUGUGUGUGUGUGUGUGUGUGUGUUUCCUCAGAGACUUUGCACGCGUUUCCAUGAUGUUAAUAAGAGCUUAUGGCAGCCAUUUUUCACCAAAUACAUCAUUUAACAUGAGUUACUGCUUUGUGGAUCAUCUAAUGAGCUUUACCUGACCUUUGAUUUAUAUACUAUUAAAACCAUGGCAGCCCAUUAAAUGUCAGCAUGUUUUUUUCCCCCCAUGGAUUGAUGCUUGUACUUAUUGAAUACAGUCACUUGCGAUUACAUUACACAAGCUGUAUCAUAAAUUAUGCCAAAACAAAGAUAAUGAUGUCAUUUUUAUUUACACUCUCAGAAAAGUAUUACUUGGACAAUGUGUUAAUUAUUGUUUUAGCUUAUAAUAGUGUAGAACUGCAAUGCGUCAUAGUCAUACUGAGAUCUGUGACCCUCCCAUGGAGCAUAAUUGAACUUUAUUGUCUUUGUAGAAUUUUUGAUAAAUCUUUUAUGUUGAAUCGCGAGAUUGCGCAGUUGUACAUAAUAAAGUGUCCAGUUUACAGUGGGAGGAAAAAGUAUGUGAAUUCUUUGAAGUUGCUUACGUCUGCAUGAAUUGGUCAUAAAAUGGCGUCUGAUCUUCAUCUAAAUCAAGAAUAAUCAAACAGUCUGCUUGAAGUAACACUACACAAAUAAUUAUAAGUUUUCAUAUUUUAUUGAAAAUAACAUGUAAACAUUGACAAGACAGCUUGACAGCUCAAAGGAGGAUGGGCGAUCCAAAACAUAGAAGCAAAUCAACAGAAUGGCUUUAGAAGAAAGUACGUGUUCUGGAGUGGCCCAAGUCAACGUCCUGACCUCAACCCAAUUGAGACCUCAACCCAUAAUCUCAAGGGAGCUCUUCUCAUCAGACAUCACAGGAAUCUUUCUGAACUACAACAGUCUUGUAAAGAGGAGUGGUCCACAAUUGCUCCUGAUUGUUCUACGUGUCUGAGCAACUACAGCAAAUGUUUGGUUGAGGUUAUUGCUGCCAAAAGAGGUUCAACCAAUUGUUAAAUCCAAGGAUUUACUUACUUUUCCCCUGAGGUGGAAAGUAAUUAAGUACUUGUACUUCGUUACUGUACUAAAGCUAAUUUUUCAGCUAUCUGUACUUUACUUUAGUAUUUAUUUUUUUGGUGCCGUUUUACUUUUACUCCUUAGUUUUUAAACACAAAUAUCUGUACUUUCUACUACUUACAUUUUUAAAAUGAGCUUGUUACUUUUUAAGCCUUCUAAAGGUAGCGACGACACAACAUCAAAAGCAGAACGCCGAAAAACCGGACGUAAGCGCGCCGAGUGCAUUGAUCAUAGACAUCGUCGAUACGACACUCCCGUUUGAGCCGCAUCCCUGUGGCAACGCUAAGCUAGUGGGGGCAAAAUGUUCGCGCAUUCCAUAUUUAGGGACGCCAGUCUGAAACCAAAAUAACAAGGAUGCCUGCACAUCCUGCGGCAUACGGUUGCACAUGUCAUACAAUCACAACAAGGGAAUGCUGAACUGGGAAUAACUUUUCAUAGGUAAGAAUAUUUUUGGCUCUUUUUUCAAAAGUUGCCUGCAAUGAAUGAACCAUGUUAGUUUUUUUUUUUGUGUGUUUUUUUUUAGAAAACAAAAUUGUUGAUGUCUGGCGCAGUAAAUUAUGUCACGUUUGAGCGUUAACUUUAUGUAGCUAACACAUUUAUUUGCCCACUGGCAAAA